rnacentral:rRNA from 1 species
CUGGCGGCAGGCUUAACACAUGCAAGUCGAACGAGCUUAGGGAGCUUGCUCCUGAUACCUAGUGGCGAACGGGUGAGUAAUGCUUAGGAAUCUGCCUAGUAGUGGGGGAUAACUUGGGGAAACUCAAGCUAAUACCGCAUACGACCUACGGGUGAAAGGGGGCGCAAGCUCUCGCUAUUAGAUGAGCCUAAGUCGGAUUAGCUAGUUGGUGGGGUAAAGGCCUACCAAGGCGACGAUCUGUAGCUGGUCUGAGAGGAUGAUCAGCCACACUGGGACUGAGACACGGCCCAGACUCCUACGGGAGGCAGCAGUGGGGAAUAUUGGACAAUGGGCGAAAGCCUGAUCCAGCCAUGCCGCGUGUGUGAAGAAGGCCUUUUGGUUGUAAAGCACUUUAAGUAGGGAGGAAAAGCUAAUGGUUAAUACCCAUUAGCCCUGACGUUACCUACAGAAUAAGCACCGGCUAACUCUGUGCCAGCCGCGGUAAUACAGAGGGUGCAAGCGUUAAUCGGAAUUACUGGGCGUAAAGCGCGCGUAGGUGGUUACUUAAGUCAGAUGUGAAAGCCCCGGGCUUAACCUGGGAACUGCAUCUGAUACUGGUGACUAGAGUAGGUGAGAGGGGAGUAGAAUUCCAGGUGUAGCGGUGAAAUGCGUAGA